UUUUUUCUCGAUAUAAAAUGGGCUAUAAAUUUAUUUAUUUUAAUGUUAAAAAAUUAUUUUUAAUAAAUUUAUUGAAAUGAAACGUUAUUCGUAUUUUAUUAUAUCUAGUUUUUUAAGAAAUAAAUUUAAUUUAUUUAUUAAUAAUCAAUUAUUUGAAUAUAGAAUUUAUUGAUAAUUAAUAUAAAAUAUUAUUAGGGAUAAGCUUGAUAAUAAAUUUUUAAUAGAAGAUUAAAUUAAGUAGUUAGUGGGAAUAGAGGUUUCUUUCUGUAUUUAGUGUGUUAUUACAAGUUACUUAAAUUAUAUAAUUUUUAUGAAGUUUAAAUAGUUUAUUAGAAUAAUUAAUUUAAUGGGUUUAUUGAGGUAAUAAUGAUUAAAUUAGUAUAAAUAAUUUUUAAUAUUAAUUUUUUAUGGUUGGUAUAGUAAAGGAAUUCGGCAAAAAAGUUUUCGCCUGUUUAUUAAAAACAUGGUUUUUUGAUAAUAAUUUAAGAUUUGGCCUGCCCUAUGAGGAGUUAAAUGGCUGCAGUAUUUUGACUGUACAAAGGUAGCAUAAUAAUUAGUUCUUUAAUUGGGAACUGGAAUGAAGGGUCGGACGAGAGAUUUACUGUCUCUAUUAUAUUAUUAUAGAAUUUUAUUUUUAAGUAAAAAAGCUUAAAUAUUAUUAAAAGACGAGAAGACCCUAUAGAACUUUAUAUUUAUGAUAAAUAAUAGUUAUUUUGUAAUUAAUGAAUAUUAUUUAUUUAAGUAUUUUGUUGGGGUGACAGAAAAAUUGAAUUAACUUUUUUAUUUAGUAAAUAUUUAUUUAUAGAUAAUUGAUCCAUUUAUAAUGAUUAAUAGAUUAAGUUACCUUAGGGAUAACAGCGUAAUUUCUUUUAAAAGUUCUUAUUGAAAGAGAAGAUUGCGACCUCGAUGUUGGAUUAAAUUAUAUUAUAGGUGCAGAAGCUUAUAAAUUUGGUCUGUUCGA
rnacentral:rRNA from 1 species